rnacentral:rRNA from 1 species
AUGGACUUGUGCGAGAAGAAACGAAGUAGCCAGGGGGCCAACUAUAGAAGAGAGGAUCUACUUGGGAAGAAAGAAGAAAGGAGGAGGGCCAAAGUAAAAAAAAGACAGAUCGGAUCAUGGGGGAUCAAAAUCCCUAGCACGCCUCCAUUCCCCAUCGAGCCUAACAUCUCCAUCUCUCUCCCCCUGACCACUUCUUCUCCCACCUUCGGCCGCCGUCGCGACCAGGCCAUCAUGGCGGCGUGCCUCCGGACAUCACUGCUCCACCAGCACCUUCACCCACCAGCACCACAUCAUCCAUCCAGCACUCCGUCUUCACCGCCAUCGCCUUGGGCGCUCCACUUCGUCGCCGCGCCUGGCGCGCCCGACCAGACGGGUGUUUGGUUCCCCGCGCCACCUGCUGCUUCUUCCCUCUCCUCAAAUCCUGUUGCUGCUAGACUUCUUCUUCCCUGA